GACGAACGCUGGCGGCGUGCCUAAUACAUGCAAGUAGAACGCAGUUGCGAACGGGUGAGUAACGCGUAGGUAACUGCCUGGUAGCGGGGGUUAACUAUUGGCAACGAUAGCUAAUACCGCAUACUACCCGUUGGACCUGCGUUGUAUUAGAUAGUUGGUGGGGUAACGGCACACCAAGGCAACGAUACAGAGCCGACCUGAGAGGGGGAUCGGGCACACUGGGACGGAGAAACGGCCCAGACUCCGACGGAAGGCAGCAGUAGGGAAUAUUCGGCAAUGGACGAAAGUCUGACCGAGCAACGCCGCGUGAGUGAAGAAGGUUUUCGGAUCGUAAAACUAUGUUGUUAGAGAAGAGGUAUCUAACCAGAAAGCCACGGCGAACUACGUGCCAGCAGCCGCGGUAAUUC
rnacentral:rRNA from 1 species